GCGCUCUUGGAUGCAUCCGCCGUUAAACCUCAAAGAAGAAGAAGAAGAAGAAGUAGUUCGUCAGAAAACGAGCGGAGCUACAGGAUCUGCUCCUCCUUCAGUGAAGCUCCUCCCACAACAAGCACACCUUCAGCGAAGCUCCUCCCACAACAAUCACACCUUCAGCGAAGCUCCUCCCACAAAAAGAACACCUUCAGUGAAGCUCCUCCCACAACAAUCACACCUUCAGUGAAGCUCCUCCCACAA